AUGGAGGCAAUGGUCAGUUCGGAAAGAUCCAUUUACAAGACAGGAGACACAUUGCUGGUGAAGAGUGUGAGUCUCCCAAAGCCUGCAGGAGUGACUGAUGAUGUGUAUGUUGAUGAGGUGGCCUUCCUCACCACCCCAACUUCUGUGACACAGAUGUACCCGCCUGCCCUCAAGCAGAAGGGAAUCCUUAUUGAGGAUGUGGCAGUCAAGAAGGUGACAGAGAAUGGGUACUCCCUGGAAUUCCAGACCACAAACUGCAAGACUGGAAUGCCCCUCCUUGGUCUCCUGCAGGUGGAAGGUCCUCCAGCAAGCUUUGACACUCAGGUGACAGUCACAUGCUCCUCUCAGACUGCCACGGGUCCCCUCGCUGGCAACUGGGACCUCGGAAUUCAGGGGCAGGUUGUAAAAGACAUUCCAGCAGGUGUUGACCCAAAGGUCCUGGAGGGCAUUCUGGAAAGUGCCCUGGGAACUGAUCUCACAGUCCAGUACUCCGGCUCCUGCAAGAACUACCACUACUACAUUGAGUGGGAGGAAGAUCCCGGCAGAAAGGAGCUGGUGGAGAUACACACAGAUAACCUGAUGUUUGAUGGGCAAGGGGCUGCAGCACACCCUCACCCUGAGUGGCAUGGCCAUCACUGCCACCCAGCUCACCUGCACUGUAGCACUGUGGGGCGGCUUGCAUUCAGUGGCACUCAGCAUGCAGCCGGCUGGCUCGGCACUGCUCCCCUCCCCCAUCAUCUACAUGGUGCCAGUCACCGUGGUUGCACUCAGCAUCACGGAGGGAAGCACUGGUGGACAGUAUCCUCUCACUGUGACUGGCACUGGCUUCCCAGACAGUGAUGGGUGGGAGGCUGGCAGUGCCAUUAUGACUCUGGGUGGCAAGAAGUGUGUGGUUAUCUCUGGUGGACCCACAGAGGUCACCUGCACAGUGCCUGCUGGUGAGGGCACGGUGGAUGUGGUGGUGGAUGUGGGCGGCACAAGUGGCUCCCUCCCUUCCUCCUUCACUUAUGACGUCUCACUGUCACCCACCAUCAUUGGCCUUUCCCUCCACACCCUCUCCCUCUUU